rnacentral:rRNA from 1 species
CCUACGGGAGGCAGCAGUGAGGAAUAUUGGUCAAUGGGCGCGAGCCUGAACCAGCCAAGUCGCGUGAAGGAUGACUGCCCUACGGGUUGUAAACUUCUUUUAUAAAGGAGUAAAGUCAGGCACGUGUGCCUUUUUGUAUGUACCUUAUGAAUAAGGAUCGGCUAAAUCCGUGCCAGCAGCCGCGGUAAUACGGAGGGUCCGAGCGUUUUCCGGAUUUUUUGGGUUUAAAGGGUGCGUAGAUGGGGUGUUAAGUCAGUCGUGAAAGUUUGCGGCUCAAACGUAAAAUUGCAGUUGAUACUGGGAGUCUUGAGUACAGUUGAGGAAGGCGGAAUGCGUGGUGUAGCGGUGAAAUGCAUAGAUAUCACGAAGAACUCCGAUUGCGAAGGCAGCUUACUA